ensembl:snRNA U6 U6 spliceosomal RNA
GUGCUUGCUUCAGCAGCACAUACACUACAAUUAGAAUAAUACAGAGAAGAUUAGCCUGGCCCCUGAGCAAGGAUGACACACAAAUUCCCAAAGUGUUCCAUAGUUAU